rnacentral:rRNA from 1 species
CUUGAACGCUAGCGGAAGGCAUAACACAUGCCAAUCGGGCGCGCAGCGGACGGGUGAGUCAUGUAUGGGCAUCUGCCUGAUGGAUUGGGAUAACUACUGGUAACGGUAGCUAAGACCGCAUACCAUCAGAUGAACCCAUAUGGGAUUAGCUUGUAGGUGAGGUAACGGCUCACCUAGGCGACGAUCCCUAGCUGGUCUGAGAGGAUGAUCAGCCACACUGGGACUGAGACACGGCCCAGACGCCUACGGGAGGCAGCAGUGGGGAAUAUUGCACAAUGGGCGCAAGCCUGAUGCAGCCAUGCCGCGUGUAUGAAGAAGGCCUUCGGGUUGUAAAGUACUUUCAGUCGGGAGGCGUUACCGACAGAAGAAGCACCGGCUAACUCCGUGCCAGCAGCCGCGGUAAUUC